rnacentral:rRNA from 1 species
GACGAACGCUGGCGGCGUGCUUAACACAUGCAAGUCGAACGGAAAGGCCCUGCUUUUGUGGGGUGCUCGAGUGGCGAACGGGUGAGUAACACGUGAGUAACCUGCCCUUGACUUUGGGAUAACUUCAGGAAACUGGGGCUAAUACCGGAUAGGAGCUCCUGCUGCAUGGUGGGGGUUGGAAAGUUUCGGCGGUUGGGGAUGGACUCGCGGCUUAUCAGCUUGUUGGUGGGGUAGUGGCUUACCAAGGCUUUGACGGGUAGCCGGCCUGAGAGGGUGACCGGCCACAUUGGGCCUACGAUACGGCCCAGACUCCUACGGGCGGCAGCAGUGGGGAAUAUUGCACAAUGGGCGGAAGCCUGAUGCAGCAACGCCGCGUGCGGGAUGACGGCCUUCGGGUUGUAAACCGCUUUCGCCUGUGACGAAGCGUGAGUGACGGUAAUGGGUAAAGAAGCACCGGCUAACUACGUG